rnacentral:rRNA from 1 species
UACGUAGGGUGCAAGCGUUAAUCGGAAUUACUGGGCGUAAAGCGUGCGCAGGCGGUUUUGUAAGUCUGUCGUGAAAUCCCCCGGGCUCAACCUGGGAAUUGCGAUGGAGACUGCAAGGCUAGAAUCUGGCAGAGGGGGGGUAGAAUUCCACGUGUAGCAGUGAAAUGCGUAGAGAUGUGGAGGAACACCAGUGGCGAAGGCGGCUCACUGGCCCGAUACUGACGCUGAGGCACGAAAGCGUGGGGAGCAACAGG